CAUUAUAAUGAAGUAAAACAAACCAGGUAGAAAAGUUGCCAAAUGAUAUACACAUAUAUUUAUGUAAAAACCAAAACUAUACAUUUUAUAGUCUAUAUACAUAGACACAUUUCCUGUGUCUAUAUAUAACAUCUACAUGCAUUAAUAGAAAAGGUCUAGAUGAAAGUUAACUUACUUCUAGGAAGAUACUGAUAUUGAAAGUCACUUUCAAAAAUAGACUU